rnacentral:rRNA from 1 species
UACGAAGGGGGCUAGCGUUGUUCGGAUUCAUUGGGCGUAAAGGGCGCGUAGGCGGCGGGGUAAGUCGGGUGUGAAAUCUCAGAGCUCAACUCUGAAACUGCACUCGAUACUGCUCUGCUUGAGGACUGGAGAGGAGACUGGAAUUCACGGUGUAGCAGUGAAAUGCGUAGAUAUCGUGAGGAAGACCAGUGGCGAAGGCGGGUCUCUGGACAGUUCCUGACGCUGAGGCGCGAAGGCCAGGGGAGCAAACGGG